GAUGAACGCUGGCGGCGUGCCUAAUACAUGCAAGUCGAGCGAACAGACGAGGAGCUUGCUCCUCUGACGUUAGCGGCGGACGGGUGAGUAACACGUGGAUAACCUACCUAUAAGACUGGGAUAACUUCGGGAAACCGGAGCUAAUACCGGAUAAUAUAUUGAACCGCAUGGUUCAAUAGUGAAAGACGGUUUUGCUGUCACUUAUAGAUGGAUCUGCGCCGCAUUAGCUAGUUGGUAAGGUAACGGCUUACCAAGGCGACGAUGCGUAGCCGACCUGAGAGGGUGAUCGGCCACACUGGAACUGAGACACGGUCCAGACUCCUACGGGAGGCAGCAGUAGGGAAUCUUCCGCAAUGGGCGAAAGCUUGACGGAGCAACGCCGCGUGAGUGAUGAAGGUCUUCGGAUCGUAAAACUCUGUUAUUAGGGAAGAACAAAUGUGUAAGUAACUAUGCACGUCUUGACGGUACCUAAUCAGAAAGCCACGGCUAACUACGU
rnacentral:rRNA from 1 species